rnacentral:rRNA from 1 species
AGAUUGAACGCUGGCGGCAUGCCUUACACAUGCAAGUCGAACGGCAGCACGGGAGCAAUCCUGGUGGCGAGUGGCGAACGGGUGAGUAAUAUAUCGGAACGUGCCCAGUCGUGGGGGAUAACGCAGCGAAAGCUGUGCUAAUACCGCAUACGAUCUAUGGAUGAAAGCGGGGGAUCGCAAGACCUCGCGCGAUUGGAGCGGCCGAUAUCAGAUUAGCUAGUUGGUGGGGUAAAAGCCUACCAAGGCGACGAUCUGUAGCUGGUCUGAGAGGACGACCAGCCACACUGGAACUGAGACACGGUCCAGACUCCUACGGGAGGCAGCAGGUAGGGGAAUUUUGGAC